GCCAUUGUGGUGUAAUGGUUUAAGUAUCGGACUAUGACUCUGGAAACCAGGGUUCAAUUCCCUGCUUGGGUG